rnacentral:rRNA from 1 species
GUAGGAGGCGAGCRUUGUCCGGKUUUACUGGGCGUAAAGCGCGCGCAGGCGGCACACUAAGUACGAUGUGAAAUCUCCYUGCUCAACGGGGAGGGUGCAUAGUAAACUGGUGAGCUAGAGGACGGUAGAGGGGGGUGGAAUUGCUGGUGUAGCGGUGAAAUGCGUAGAGAUCAGCAGGAACACCCGUGGCGAAGGCGGCCCCCUGGGCCGAACCUGACGCUGAGGCGCGAAGGCUAGGGGAGCGAACGGGAUUAGAUACCCCGGUAGUCCUAGCAGUAAACGAUGGCCACUAGGUGUGGGGGGUGUUGACCCCUUCCGUGCCGAARMUAACGCAUUAAGUGGCCCGCCUGGGGAGUACGGUCGCAARAMUA